UACGUAGGGUGCGAGCGUUAAUCGGAAUUACUGGGCGUAAAGCGUGCGCAGGCGGUUUUUUAAGACAGGCGUGAAAUCCCCGAGCUCAACUUGGGAAUUGCGCUUGUGACUGCAAGGCUAGAGUGUGUCAGAGGGGGGUAGAAUUCCACGUGUAGCAGUGAAAUGCGUAGAGAUGUGGAGGAAUACCGAUGGCGAAGGCAGCCCCCUGGGACAUGACUGACGCUCAUGCACGAAAGCGUGGGGAGCAAACAGG
rnacentral:rRNA from 1 species